rnacentral:rRNA from 1 species
CGGCAAUGGGACUUGCUCCCUGAUGUUACGGCGGANGGGUGAGUACACGUGGGUACCUGCCUGUAAGACUGGGAUAACUCCGGGAAACCGGGGCUAAUACCGGAUGCUUGUUUGAACCGCAUGGUUCAAACAUAAAAGGUGGCUUCGGCUACCACUUACAGAUGGACCCGCGGCGCAUUAGCUAGUUGGUGAGGUAAUGGCUCACCAAGGCAACGAUGCGUAGCCGACCUGAGAGGGUGAUCGGCCACACUGGGACUGAGACACGGCCCAGACUCCUACGGGAGGCAGCAGUAGGGAAUCUUCCGCAAUGGACGAAAGUCUGACGGAGCAACGCCGCGUGAGUGAUGAAGGUUUUCGGAUCGUAAAGCUCUGUUGUUAGGGAAGAACAAGUACCGUUCGAAUAGGGCGGUACCUUGACGGUACCUAACCAGAAAGCCACGGCUAACUACG